rnacentral:rRNA from 1 species
UACGGAGGAUGCAAGCGUUAUCCGGAAUGAUUGGGCGUAAAGCGUCCGCAGGUGGCUGUGUAAGUCUGCUGUCAAAGAGCAAAGCUCAACUUUGUAAAGGCAGUGGAAACUACACGGCUAGAGUGCGUUCGGGGCAGAGGGAAUUCCUGGUGUAGCGGUGAAAUGCGUAGAGAUCAGGAAGAACACCGGUGGCGAAGGCGCUCUGCUAGGCCGCAACUGACACUGAGGGACGAAAGCUAGGGGAGCGAGUGGG